AUGCACAAACUUUCUCUAUCGUUUGCUCUGCUCACUUACGGUGGCUAUUGGAGGCCAACAAAAUGGCCGGCUUCCUCGUACAAAUAUCAGUUGUACAACAUUUACUCGGCAUUCAUGAUUUUCCUCUUAUAUUUCAUCACGUUCUGUACUUGCGUGGAUUCAUUGAUCAGCAAAAACUUGAAGACGAUGAGCGAAAAAUUUUCCCUCUGCAUCUCGGUCUUAGGUGUUUCUCUCAAAGUGGCCAACUUGUUCCUUCAACGAGGGAAAAUUAUAAAUAUAAUGAACAGUCUGACGAAGGAGAAUUCCACUCCAAGGGACGAACAGGAGAAAAUCAUUCAACGGAGAAACGACAAUUACGCAAGAAAACUGACCAUAUACUGCGAGAUUCUGAACGAAUCGGCAGUGUUCUUCGCGACGGUGGGUCAAUAUAAAACAUUCAUAAAUACCAGGACAUUACCCGUAUCCGAUUGGAUACCGUACGACUUAUCCUCGACAGAAUUGUACACGAUAUCCCUGUUGUACCAAACUGUUGGCCUGUUGAUCUGCGCGAACGCGAGCGUGGGCAACGAGACCCUGAUUGCCGGAUUGAUGAUACAAGCUGGCGUGCAGUUCGAGAUAUUUUGUCAUCGAGCACAAAAUCUGCCCUCCCUGUUGACGGUGACAAGAAACAGCAACGUGUCGAAAAAGGAUCUGAGGAUGAGAUACAAUAAGAUUAUCGGGGAUUUAGUUCGACAUCACCUUGAAAUUCGUCCGAACGGUGAACACCGUGUUCCAGUACAUGAUUUUUCUACAGUUCUCCAUAAGCUCGGUGGUUCUAUGCCUGAGUAUCUAUAAAUUUUCAACGGUAGAUCCGCUGAGCAUGAACUUCGUCUGGAGCGGCUUCUAUUUGUGCUGUAUGCUUAUGCAGGUGUAUUUAUACUGCUGGUUUGGGAACGAGGUGACGUUGAAGAGCAAUAAAGUAAGCGAUGCUAUUUACGAAAUGGAUUGGACGAUACUUCCUUCUAACGUAAUGAAGGAUUUAUUGCUCGUUAUAGCAAGAUCUAAGAAACCGGUGAAAAUAACCAGUGGUCAGAUCUUUACCUUAUCCAC